UACGUAGGGAGCAAGCGUUGUUCGGAUUUACUGGGCGUAAAGGGCGCGUAGGCGGCAAAGUUAAGUCAGCUGUGAAAUCUCCGAGCUUAACUCGGAACGGUCAGCUGAUACUGAUCUGCUAGAGUGCGGAAGGGGCAAUCGGAAUUCUUGGUGUAGCGGUGAAAUGCGUAGAUAUCAAGAGGAACACCUGAGGUGAAGACGGGUUGCUGGGCCGACACUGACGCUGAGUGCGCGAAAGCCAGGGGAGCAAACGGG
rnacentral:rRNA from 1 species